CACAAAGGUUGUUGGAGUUGUGGAUAGUGUGGAGGGCUGUUGCAGGUUGCAACAGGAUGCAGAGCUGGGCAAAGAACUGGCAGAUGGAAUUCAAACCAGAAAAGUGUGAACUGAUUUAUUUUGUAAGUUCAAAUUCAAUGUAGAUUACAGGGUUAAUGGAAGUAUGGAGAAACAGAGGGAUCUUGGGGUCCAUAUCCAAAGCUCCCACCAAGUUGCUACCCAAGUUGAGAGGGUUUUUAAGAAGGCAUAUGGUGUGUUGGCUUUCAUUGACAGGAGAAUUGAUUUUAAGAGCCAUUAGGUUAUGCUGCAGCUCUCUGAAACUCUGGUUACUCCACACUUGUAUUUUUAUGUUCAGCUUUUGUCGCCUCAUUAUAGGAGAGAUGUGGAAGCUUUAGAGAGGGUGUAGAGGAGAUUUAGCAAGAUGCUCAAAAUUAUCGGAAGUCUGUCGAGAAGCUGGGCAUGUCAUGCUUCCGCACUGUUUGCGAGUUUGCAGCAUUCAUAUGAUGAAUGUACUUGUUCAGAACUGAGGAAAGGUCACUGAAAUGGUAACUCUGAUUUUCCUUCACAGAUGCUGCCAGGCCUGCUGAGCUUUUCCAGCAACUUCUGCUUUUAUUUCUGAUUUACAGCAUCCGCUGUCCUCUUGGGUUUUCACUCAGAAUUUUUAAUUUGUCGCAGUGGAAGGGAUCAAAAAUUUUGUUUUUAAGAGGGACCUGAAAUAAUUCCGCAGAGCUGGUAUCCUGUCACCAAGUCACCUUUUAUUUACAAACUGAGAGUCCUUGACACUCAACCGACUCUUUCAGAGUGAGCAGGAUGUCCGACACUCCAGUUCUUAUCAAUCAGCCAGGGCUUCCUGACUGGACCAGAUUAAGCCCCAUUCAGGAAACUCACUCUGUGCUGUCCAUCUGGCUGACCUCAUUACAUUCAAUAUAUUCCUCCCCUUCUGAGUUCAAGGACACAGGCUGGUUCUUUUUCUUUUGUGGUUUCUGGAUGUUCUAGCGUCGGGUCAGGUUCCUCUAAUCCUGUCUCGGAUACGGGCAGAGUGUAAUGUGCAGUAGCCUGCCUCUUGCACCGAGAGUAUUUCGCAAGAAAUCAGUUUUAUUCUGCAAGCGGAAAAGGCGUCGAGGCAGUGACCAUCUCAGAUUCCGAGAAUCUUGACGGAGAAGUCGAACACACAUGUUCCCAAACUAUUGGAAAGGCUGUCGAGGAGCUGGGCACGUUGUGCCCCUGCACUGUUUGCGAGUUUGCAGCAGUCUUGGUGACAUUCUCGUUCAGGGCUGUUGCAUCUACUUGAUCUUUAUAUGUCAUUCGACCUGACCUCACAUUGACCAUGCCCGUUACUCAUGCAGGUACAUUCCUCUGGUUCCUACACCAAACAUUAUCCCCUGAAAUAAACUCUCUCACUCAGCAGUCUCAUGUCUGGCACUGGCUUUCCUGAUGCCGUAUCAACCUAGUUUGGUUAGCAUGUAAAACAAUACUUUUCACUGUGUCUGUCUACAUGUGACGGUAAUAUGUCAAAUCAAAUCUCAUUUAUUACCUUCCCAUGUAUACAAAGGUGCAUGCAGUGUGAUAUGUUAACCUUUGGAGUUUCACCAAUAGCAUUAAUUCUCAUUUCUGUUGCCUUUGAGCUUUUUUAAUCAGCUUGCAUUCCAAUUGAUAUUUCACAGAUUGUAGAGUUGUGGGUUAUUUGUGUUGUGGACUCUUGCACAUUGAAACUAUGAAUUUUGACUCUUUACUUUCAUAACACGCUACUAAUUAUUUGCAACUAAUCACAAAUUCCUUUUAGUUUGUUGUUUGAUUACGAAAUAUACAUGGUGAAAGGAUUUAGCGGAACUUUGUAUGAAACCUGAACAGUAAAUGAAGCUGUACAAAGCUUGAUUUAGUCAAGACAAGAACUUUGGAACUUUGUAUCCAUGUUGUAUGCAACAAUGUACUUUAUAAAGUAGGCCAGCAAUAUUCUGCUAAAGGUUUACUGCCUUUCUUUUAAGAUUUGUUGGUGUUUGAUACUGAUUGCCUAUUUGAUAUUAGUUGGAAUGCUCUUUCACUAAAAGCUGUCCAGAAUAUUUUGAUGCACUCCUGUGAACAAUAAAGAAAGGCUUUGUGAAAAACUUAAAGACAGUGCAUCCCUUCCACUCGUUUUAACAGGUUCAGCUAGGAUCCAGCUGUGCUUAGUUUCAAUUUGGCUUUGGAUCCAAUCUAAUAAUACUGUAAAGGAAUAUAAGAACCAAGGGCAGGAGAAGACUGUGCAGCCCACUGUGCCUGCUUCCUCAUUCACUACAAUUGUGGCUCAUCUUGGGCUUCAAAUUUGCUUUCCUGCUUGCUCCCUGAGUCCCUCGAUUCCCUGAGAGAAUGAAGGUAAAUUUUGUUCUUAAGUACAUUCAGUGAAAACACUUGAUAUAUAUUUGAUUUUAUCAUUAUGAGCCUGUUUUGAGCAGCAUUUUCUUGGGACGUAAAUUUUUUUUGGAUUUGUCACAAUCUAUAUUGGAAGAGCCUACUAGAGAUUGAACCCCACUAUUCCAUAAAUAAUUGUAAAUAUGACGAGUGUAACCUCAAGGAUUGUUAAUGUCUGACUGUUACCGUUAUUGAGGAUAAAAGAAAUUUUCUCCAGGUUUCAUCAAUUAAUGGGGGAAAAAGUACAUUUAUUAUUUUAAAUGUAUUCUUUAACAAGUGACAAAGUGGAUUAUUAAUGAUGAACAUGUAAACUUAAACCAUUCUACAUUCAGGUGCAGACAUGCAUACACUUGUCACCAAUAAGGUGGCAGGAUAGUCAAGAUGAACAGUUAUUCUGCAGUAUCGUGGGUGGGAGAUAUCAGUAAAAAGAACAAACCCUGCAGAACAAGACUCUCAGCCAAAAGCGGGGUAAAUGAGGUGACUUUCUCACAGUUCCUCUGCUUUUUGACAAUGGUGUCGUGUCACCGAUCACCACAUUGAUCCUCAAUUUGACAGUUGAUCAAUUGAACCUAUGUCUGGGCUUGGAUCAGAAAAAGGCCUGAUUCCACACUGUAGGCAUUCUAACACAAGUUUGAUUUGUGUAUGCUGAAAAGAUUUUGGGCCAGAAAGUCCUCAGCAAAGACAUUUUGGUUGAGAGUUAUGUGCUGUGUUGAAUUAAUGUAGCGACUGCCACCCACUGUUGUAGAGUAUAGCUGAAAAACAGAUGAGUAUGGAGGAACUGAUGGGUACAUCUCCAGCAAGGUAACAGCCUUUCAGGAAAAUUGCGCAAGUAACUAGUAAAAUUUGAGUGAGAUUUUUUGGUAAAUUAUUCUUUAACUGAAGUGCGGAAAAAUGUGAGCUCAGCGAUUUUUUUUUGGUGAUCAACUUCGACUCCAUUAUCCUGCAUCACAAUCAAAUUCUAAUAUUUCUGAACUGAAGAAUCAUAGAAUUUUACAGUAUAGAAGGUGGCCAUUUGGCCCACUCUGUCUGUACUGGCUCCUGAAAGAGCUACCCAGCUGUGUCUCUGUAGGCCUCUAAAUUCAGCACUUUCAAAUAUAUAUCUCAGGAAGGGUCACCGGACCUUAGAUGUUAAUUCCAAUUUCUCUUCACAGAUGCUGUCAGGCCUGUUGAUCUUUUCCAGCAACUUCUGUUUUUGUCAAGUAAAGAGAUUUAGAUUCUCCCUUACUGGAGAUUGUCAUUGCCUGACACUUUUUUGUAAUGCAUAAUUCGUACCACUUGUCAGCCCUAGCCUAAACUUUGCCCAGGCCUUGCUGCAUAUGGACAUGGACUGCAGUAAUCAGUGCCUAUACCCACUUCUGACUUUGUGAAGGAGUUACGUUCAUUGAUAAAGCAGCUGAAGCUGGUCAGACUGAGGAACUUUGCAGCGAUGACCUGGUACUGAGCUGAUGGAUCUCCGGCAACCACAACCAAUCCUGCCUUUUGCUGUCUAUAUCUCCAACUAGUCGGCCAUUUCCCACCUGAUUCCCAAUUGACUUCAGUUUUCGGAAGGCUUUUUGAUGUCAAGAGCAGGUAUUGUCCUGGUCACUUGUAAUGCUGCCAAUUCAAGAUUAACUACAUGGAUGGUCUCUAUCGGUUGCUUAAUCACCAAUGUCAGUUUGCAAUCCUGAAUCCAAUAUUGUCACUUCAUCUUUCAGUUCUGUUGAUAAGCAAAGUUUGAGAUCAACAGCUUUCAGUUUACUAUCUGGAAGUCAAUCAGUGCAGAUUUUGAUGAAGUGCUGAACGUCAACUUGCCAAAUACAAUUGGCUAAACAGUAUGAGGCCAAUCAGUCUCUUGAAACACUUUUGCUGUGCAAUCAACAUUCCAACAUUAUUUGACAAUGAAAAAUUACAUACGUGCUUCAGAAGAUUAGAUUUGAAACAGAGAUUUGUGAAUAUGAAUGGAGCUAUAUAUGUCUCCAUCUCGGGCACCAACCUCAAGUCCACCUGGACUAUCUCCAACACCUCCCUCACCUUCCUGGACCCCUCUAUCUCCAUCUCGGGCAACCACCUCGAAACUGAUAUCCAUUUCAAGCCCACCGACUCCCACAGCGACCUAGGAUACACCUCCUCCCACCCACCUUCCUGCAAAAAUUACAUCCCCUAUUCCCAAUUCCUUUGCCUUCGCCACAUCUGCUCCCAGGACGAGGCAUUCCAUUCCCGUACACCUCGGAUGUCCUCAUUUUUCAAGGACCGCAACUCCCCCCAACCCAUCCCACACCCCCGCAACCCCUCGCAGUGGUCAAGAACGCCCUCGACCGUGUCUCUCUCAUUUCCUGUGACUCAACUCUCACACCCCGUCCCCGCAAUAACCACCAAAAGAGAACCCCCUCAUCCUCACAUACCACCCUCCCAACCUCUGCCUACAAUGUAUCAUCCUCUGACAUUUCCACCAUCUGCAAUCUGACCUCACCACCAAAGACAUUUUUCC